GUGAUUGGUUGGGAGUUAUUAAAUGUUCAACACUAAAAUGAGGGACAGAGAGAAACUAUUUUCCCUCUGUCCCUACUUUUAGUGCUGUCCGUUUUGUUCAGACGUACCACCCUGAA
rnacentral:precursor_RNA from 10 species